AUUGAACGCUGGCGGCAGGCCUAACACAUGCAAGUCGAGCGGAUGAAGGGAGCUUGCUCCUGGAUUCAGCGGCGGACGGGUGAGUAAUGCCUAGGAAUCUGCCUGGUAGUGGGGGAUAACGUCCGGAAACGGGCGCUAAUACCGCAUACGUCCUGAGGGAGAAAGUGGGGGAUCUUCGGACCUCACGCUAUCAGAUGAGCCUAGGUCGGAUUAGCUAGUUGGUGGGGUAAAGGCCUACCAAGGCGACGAUCCGUAACUGGUCUGAGAGGAUGAUCAGUCACACGGGAAGGGAGACACGGUCCAGACUCCUACGGGAGGCAGCAGUGGGGAAUAUUGGACAAUGGGCGAAAGCCUGAUCCAGCCAUGCCGCGUGUGUGAAGAAGGUCUUCGGAUUGUAAAGCACUUUAAGUUGGGAGGAAGGGCAGUAAGUUAAUACCUUGCUGUUUUGACGGUACCAACAGAAUAAGCACCGGCUAACUACGUG
rnacentral:rRNA from 1 species